GACGAACCCUGGCGGCGUGCUUAACACAUGCAAGUCGAACGGAAAGGCCCUGCUUUUGUGGGGUGCUCGAGUGGCGAACGGGUGAGUAACACGUGAGUAACCUGCCCUUGACUUUGGGAUAACUUCAGGAAACUGGGGCUAAUACCGGAUAGGAGCUCCUGCUGCAUGGUGGGGGUUGGAAAGUUUCGGCGGUUGGGGAUGGACUCGCGGCUUAUCAGCUUGUUGGUGGGGUAGUGGCUUACCAAGGCUUUGACGGGUAGCCGGCCUGAGAGGGUGACCGGCCACAUUGGGACUGAGAUACGGCCCAGACUCCUACGGGAGGCAGCAGUGGGGAAUAUUGCACAAUGGGCGGAAGCCUGAUGCAGCAACGCCGCGUGCGGGAUGACGGCCUUCGGGUUGUAAACCGCUUUCGCCUGUGACGAAGCGUGAGUGACGGUAAUGGGUAAAGAAGCACCGGCUAACUACGUGCCAGCAGCCGCGGUGAUACGUAGGGUGCGAGCGUUGUCCGGAUUUAUUGGGCGUAAAGGGCUCGUAGGUGGUUGAUCGCGUCGGAAGUGUAAUCUUGGGGCUUAACCCUGAGCGUGCUUUCGAUACGGGUUGACUUGAGGAAAGGUAGGGGAGAAUGGAAUUCCUGGUGGAGCGGUGGAAUGCGCAGAUAUCAGGAGGAACACCAGUGGCGAAGGCGGUUCUCUGGGCCUUUCCUGACGCUGAGGAGCGAAAGCGUGGGGAGCGAACAGGCUUAGAUACCCUGGUAGUCCACGCUGUAAACGGUGGGUACUAGGUGUGGGGUCCAUUCCACGGGUUCCGUGCCGUAGCUAACGCUUUAAGUACCCCGCCUGGGGAGUACGGCCGCAGGGCUAAAACUCAAAGGAAUUGACGGGGCCCCGCACAAGCGGCGGAGCAUGCGGAUUAAUUCGAUGCAACGCGUAGAACCUUACCUGGGUUUGACAUGGAUCGGGAGUGCUCAGAGAUGGGUGUGCCUCUUUUGGGGUCGGUUCACAGGUGGUGCAUGGCUGUCGUCAGCUCGUGUCGUGAGAUGUUGGGUUAAGUCCCGCAACGAGCGCAACCCUUGUUCACUGUUGCCAGCACGUUAUGGUGGGGACUUAGUGGAGACCGCCGGGGUCAACUCGGAGGAAGGUGGGGAUGACGUCAAGUCAUCAUGCCCCUUAUGUCCAGGGCUUCACGCAUGCUACAAUGGCUGGUACAGAGAGUGGCGAGCCUGUGAGGGUGAGCGAAUCUCGGAAAGCCGGUCUCAGUUCGGAUUGGGGUCUGCAACUCGACCUCAUGAAGUCGGAGUCGCUAGUAAUCGCAGAUCAGCAACGCUGCGGUGAAUACGUUCCCGGG
rnacentral:rRNA from 1 species